rnacentral:tRNA from 1 species
UGGCUCAGUCAGUAGAGCAUGUGACUCUCAACCUCGGGGUUGUGAGUUCAAGUCUCAC